GGAGCCGUGCCUGAAGUAAAGGGCCACUUUGAUAGAGUGAACCAUGAGGGUUAAAGUCCCUCCAGCUCCU
rnacentral:tRNA from 1 species